CGCCUCUUGCAAAACCGAAGAAUAAGAGGUCCCGCCUGCCCUGUGACUAUAUGUUUAACGGCCGCGGUAUUUUGACCGUGCGAAGGUAGCGUAAUCACUUGUCUUUUAAAUGGAGACCCGUAUGAAUGGCACGACGAGGGCUUAACUGUCUCCUUUCUCAAGUCAAUGAAAUUGAUCUCCCCGUGCAGAAGCGGGGAUAGCACCAUAAGACGAGAAGACCCUAUGGAGCUUUAGACACAAGGCAGAUCAUGUUAAACACCCCUAAAUAAAGGACUAAACCCCCUGAACUCCUGCCCUAAUGUCUUUGGUUGGGGCGACCACGAGGAAAAAGAACCCGCGUGCGGACUGGGGGUUUACCCCUAUUACCAAGAGCUCCCGCUCUAAUGAUCAGAAUUUCUGACCAAACAGAUCCGGCAUAGCCGAUCAACGGACCGAGUUACCCUAGGGAUAACAGCGCAAUCCUCUCUAAGAGUCCAUAUCGACGAGGGGGUUUACGACCUCGAUGUUGGAUCAGGACAUCCUAAUGGUGCAGCCGCUAUUAAGGGUUCGUUUGUUCAACGAUUAAAGUCCU
rnacentral:rRNA from 1 species